UACGUAGGGUGCGAGCGUUAAUCGGAAUUACUGGGCGUAAAGCGUGCGCAGGCGGUUAUGUAAGACAGAUGUGAAAUCCCCGGGCUCAACCUGGGACCUGCAUUUGUGACUGCAUGGCUGGAGUACGGCAGAGGGGGAUGGAAUUCCGCGUGUAGCAGUGAAAUGCGUAGAUAUGCGGAGGAACACCGAUAGCGAAGGCAGCUUACUACGCAGAUAUUGACACUGAGGCACGAAAGCGUGGGGAUCAAACAGG
rnacentral:misc_RNA from 1 species